GUAGGGGGCAAGCGUUGUCCGGAUUUACUGGGCGUAAAGAGCGUGUAGGCGGCCAGGCAGGUCUGUUGUGAAAACUGGAGGCUCAACCUCCAGACGUCGACAGAAACCGUCUGGCUAGAGUCCGGAAGAGGAGAGUGGAAUUCCUGGUGUAGCGGUGAAAUGCGCAGAUAUCAGGAAGAACACCGAUGGCGAAGGCAGCUCUCUGGGACGGUACUGACGCUGAGACGCGAAAGCGUGGGGAGCAAACAGGAUUAGAUACCCUGGUAGUCCACGCCGUAAACGAUGGGUGCUAGGUGUGGGAGGUGUCGACUCCUCCCGUGCCGCAGCUAACGCAUUAAGCACCCCGCCUGGGGAGUACGGCCGCAAGGCUAAA
rnacentral:rRNA from 1 species